rnacentral:rRNA from 1 species
AGAUUGAACGCUGGCGGCAGGCCUAACACAUGCAAGUCGAGCGGCAGCACGGGUACUUGUACCUGGUGGCGAGCGGCGGACGGGUGAGUAAUGCCUAGGAAUCUGCCUGGUAGUGGGGGAUAACGCUCGGAAACGGACGCUAGUACCGCAUACGUCCCACGGGAGAAAGCAGGGGACCUUCGGGCCUUGCGCUAUCAGAUGAGCCUAGGUCGGAUUAGCUAGUUGGUGAGGUAAUGGCUCACCAAGGCGACGAUCCGUAACUGGUCUGAGGGGAUGAUCAGUCACACUGGAACUGAGACACGGUCCAGACUCCUACGGGAGCAGCAGUGGGGAAUAUUGGACAAUGGGCGAAAGCCUGAUCCAGCAAUGCCGCGUGAGUGAUGAAGGCCUUAGGGUUGAAAGCU